GUCUCCUCUAAUUGACUGAGCUGCACGAGUGUAGCCAUGCCACAGGAUGUGGGACACAAAAAUUGUGCAUCACUGCCAGCUCUUGCCCCACUGCUGCAACUUGGAUGGAGCUCAUCUCACCAAUGCCCUGGCCAAGAAAAAUCCCAACUCCACCAGGAGCCACAAUCCUCAAACCACGCCUGGCUCUGUGAAGCCCUUCAGAACCAAGCCCUGCUGCCCACGUGGGCUCAGCCCAGCAUCCCUGCAGUGGCACCAUGGGGAUUCUCAACUCUGCCAGGCACUGCUGGAGAAGUAAAAUCAUCAACUCGUGUGGCUGGGCUGGGAACAGGGUCUUUCCAGACUCCAGGGGGAAUUUGUUUCCUGCUCUCCAUAAACUUUGCCAUACUUCACCUCCAAGGCACCAGGAGAACACAGGAAUGGAAACACCUUGAUGCAGGUAUGG